AGAAGUGGUUUAAUGGGAGGAGCAGGUUUUAUCUCCUAACAGCAACUUCUGCUUUAGUCAAAUGAGUUUCAUUAAGAGAGGGGGGGAAAAGAACCUGAGCUGGGCUCCUGACAAUCAGGUCUGUCAGAUAAAAAUAGUAACCACACGAGCAGACCUUUGUCUAACUGCGCAUGCCCAGGACUGGGGCCCGCGUGGUUAGAGAACGCUCCGACAUCAGCUCAGAACGUGGUCCAAGUUGGUCCUUAAGACACCGAGUGCGCCUGCGCUUGCUGGGGGUGGGUCCUGGAGUGCUGGGUGGGGCCCUUGUGUGCUCUGCGCUUCUCCCGCGCUUUUCCAGAAAAAGUGUGCAUUUUGAUGGUUCGGAGCGGGCCUACGCGGAUUUGCUAUUGAGGUCCCCAUUUAAGGGUUUUACCAGCCCUGGCACUCGUUCCUACGUCAACAAAAAUGUAAGCGCAACGGAACAGUAAACAGCUUGCACCCGACAGAGUGCGUACUCUACUUUCCCUACGACAACAAGGGUACUACUGUUGAACUUCAACCACUCUGGGUGAUGCCAAGGAUACAUUUUGCUACAACAAUAAUUAUGCUUCUGGACCCUCGCCUGGUAAAAUGGAAAGCAUGUAAAAUGUAUGGACCCUUUUGAAGACAGUGGCCUACCCAGAAAUCCUGGAUAACCUUUUCAUCUGAAGGUCCUUAACUUAGUCCCAUUUAUGAAGGCUCCUUUGCCAUGUGAGAUUUUCAAGGAGCAAUGAGAUAAAACUGCUGAGUUUCAGACCUAUUUCCGGCUUUGUAUUUCAACGAUAAAAAUGAGAAGAGAGAAGGAGAUAAUCUGCCAGAAGAUGCUACUGAGAUAAAUAAGAAGCCUAUAAUUUGGACUGAGAAUGAACACCCUGAAAACAUGAUUUGUGUCAUAUAUUCAAUUGGUUCCAACAGUGUGAAGUGAGAUCACAAGCAAUGUGAACAACCAAUCUGCAAAAUAAAACAUCUUCAGGUCCAGUACUACUCAUCAACUGCAAACAGAAAACAGCUCAUACACAAGACAUCUAACCACAGGGUUGAGAAGACCAAAUUAUUAAUUGGCACUGCCCAGGAUGCUAGCUGAGUUCUGGAGUUGGCGGUCCAAAGGAAGAGAAAUCCCAGGAACUUUGAAGAAGCUGGGCCCCAGACACAGAUGAAGAAGUGGAUCUGUGCAGCACAAAGGGUUGAUUAUGGAAGCCAUGAAGGAAGAGAAAUCCCAGGAACUUUGAAGAAGCUGGGCCCCAGACACAGAUGAAGAAGUGGAUCUGUGCAGCACAAAGGGUUGAUUAUGGAAGCCAUGAAGGUGAGCUACUAGAUCUCCCUUCCAGGGAGAAUCUUCCCUGAGUGUAUUUAGGAAGAGCUUCAGCUGCUACCCAUCCAUCACAGCAUUCACACUGAGGACAUGCUCUUCAUGGACCCUUGGUAGAUAAAGGUGGCGCACUGUAAGGAUGCCAGAGCUGGACCAUUCUUACCCCAUGGGGAACUUCUUUAAUGGGUCACUUUUGAUCUGAACUGAAUGUUACUUCUUCCCAACUGCACUGCAGUAUGAGGCUGUUCCUACCAAAUUCUCCUUUCCCUGUCUGCUUUCCAGGUGUCAGACCUGCAUUAUGGUCUGAGGCACUCUGUGCCUACUUCUGUUCCAUGUCUUUUUUUAUCCUUCACAGAUACUUCUUCCCUCAUUCCCUUACAUGAAUAACUUUACCUGGACUUCUUACCAGGUGACCUGAACUACACCAUAGCAUUCAAUCAUUUUAUAGACAGGGAACUUGAGAAGGUCUAGAUUUAGAACAACAACGAGAUGAGCAACAGUCAUAGAAACUAGUCAACUAGUAAAAUGUAAAGAUAUAAAGACCAUGUAGCCUGAGAAUUGACGAUAUGAUUGAGGACUACAGAUUUAUGUGAGGUGUAAAUAAAUUCUCCAAAUACAAGCAACCUUGGCUGCAAGGUUGUAUGAAUCUGCACAAUGGGUCCAGAAGACAGAACAAAGCAAGGGACAGAAGGGUGGUGGGAGAGGUUGAUACGGUCACAGCUUCCUCAGUCCUUGUCUCGCCAUAGCAAAGCACUGGAAUGGCAGACCUUUUACAAAUUUAUUGAAGUAGAAGUACAUUUUCAGAGAGAAAGAAAGAACUCACAUGUGCACAGGUUAAAAAGAGGGCCUGACUCACCCUGCAAUAGUCUUUAUACCCCACAAUGCAGACCUAAGUGGAGACCCAAUUUGAUGUUCUGAUUGGUCUUGGGCAGGACACCUUAUUUGCAUGGGGAACAGUUAUAUGGUGGCCUGGUGAGGAAGGGGUGACAUUCCUUCUCUGGCAGGGAGUGAGCAGCCCAGGCUGGUCAAGGUGGGGGAAAGGGUAUUACAAUGAGACUUGGCCAGAGCCUCUUGGGUUUAAU